rnacentral:rRNA from 1 species
AUUGAACGCUGGCGGAAUGCUUUACACAUGCAAGUCGAACGGCAGCACGGGGGCAACCCCGGUGGCGAGUGGCGAACGGGUGAGUAAUACAUCGGAACGUGCCCGGUCGUGGGGGAUAACGUAGCGAAAGUUACGCUAAUACCGCAUACGAUCUGAGGAUGAAAGCGGGGGACCUUCGGGCCUCGCGCGAUCGGAGCGGCCGAUGUCAGAUUAGGUAGUUGGUGGGGUAAAGGCCUACCAAGCCGACGAUCUGUAGCUGGUCUGAGAGGACGACCAGCCACACUGGGACUGAGACACGGCCCAGACUCCUACGGGAGGCAGCAGUGGGGAAUUUUGGACAAUGGGCGCAAGCCUGAUCCAGCCAUUCCGCGUGCAGGACGAAGGCCUUCGGGUUGUAAACUGCUUUUGUAUGGAACGAAAAGGCUCUGGCUAAUACCUGGGGCUCAUGACGGUACCGUAAGAAUAAGCACCGGCUAACUACGUG